GUGAGGAAUCUUGCGCAAUGGGGGCAACCCUGACGCAGCGACGCCGCGUGCGGGAAGAAGGCCUUCGGGUCGUAAACCGCUUUUCUGGAGGACGAGGAAGGACGGUACUCCAGGAAUAAGUCCCGGCUAACUACGUGCCAGCAGCCGCGGUAAAACGUAGGGGGCGAGCGUUAUCCGGAAUUACUGGGCGUAAAGGGCAUCUAGGCGGCAAUCUAAGUCCUGCGUGAAAGCUCCCGGCUCAACUGGGAGAGCGCGUGGGAGACUGGGUAGCUAGAGACACGGAGAGGGGUGUGGAAUUCCCGGUGGAGUGGUGAAAUGCGUUGAGAUCGGGAGGAACACCAGUGGCGAAGGCGGCACCCUGGCCGAGGUCUGACGCUGAAGUGCGACAGCGUGGGGAGCAAACGGGAUUAGAUACCCCAGUAGUCC
rnacentral:rRNA from 1 species